rnacentral:rRNA from 1 species
CGCUGGCGGUGUGCUUCACACAUGCAAGUCGAACGAGGUAGCAAUACCUAGUGGCGGACGGGUGAGUAACGCGUGGGAAUCUGCCUUAGAUGGGGGAUAACGGGUCGAAAGACUCGCUAAUACCGCAUAUGACGAAAGUUGAAAGGAGUAAUCCGUCUAAAGAUGAGCCCGCGUCCGAUUAGCUAGUUGGUAGAGUAAAAAGCCUACCAAGGCGACGAUCGGUAGCUGGUCUGAGAGGAUGAUCAGCCACAAUGGGACUGAGACACGGCCCAUACUCCUACGGGAGGCAGCAGUGGGGAAUUUUACGCAAUGGGCGAAAGCCUGACGUAGCGACACCGCGUGAGCGAAGAAGCCCCUUGGGGUGUAAAGCUCUGUCAGCUGGAACGAAAAAAUGACGGUACCAGCAGAGGAAGCAUCGGCUAACUACGUG